rnacentral:snRNA from 1 species
GUGCUCCUUCAGCAGCACAUUUACCGAAAUCCAAACAACACAGAGGUUAGCAUGGCCCCUGCACAAGCAUGACACACACAUUAUUGAAGCGUUCCAUAGAUGC